rnacentral:rRNA from 1 species
UACGUAGGGUGCAAGCGUUGUUCAGAAUUACUGGGCGUAAAGCGCGUGUAGGCGGCCGAUUAAGUCUGGUGUGAAAGCCCGGGGCUCAACCCCGGAACUGCAUUCGAUACUGCUGCGCUAGAGUACUGGAGAGGAGAUUGGAAUUUACGGUGUAGCAGUGAAAUGCGUAGAUAUCGUAAGGAAGACCAGUGGCGAAGGCGGAUCUCUGGACAGUGACUGACACUGAGGCACGAAGGCCAGGGGAGCAAACGGG